AAUUUUCAGAUUUUUUAUGGAUGAUGAACCCAAGAACAAUCGUAGAUUGACUUACAUGUACAAUUUUUUCCUUUCUAUAAAACAUGCAUAGCUAAAGGGACAAUUGUGGUAUGAAUGAUAGAUAGCACCAGCAGAUACAUUCAAAUCAAUGAUAUGAUAGAUCAAAUUUAGAGUGAAUUUAAUUUGGAUUUUAUGCAGUGUAAUCUGUACUUCUUGUAUAUUAAGUUAGUGGACUAUGGAAUGCUGAAGAGUCAUAUGUGACUGGAAAUCUUCUUGACUGCAUAAAUUGGCCAGAUUGCAUUGGAGAGUCGAUUUUCGAAACCGGAACAUGGAUAUGUAUUUGCCAGUACAGGUCAUCUUACCCAUGAUUGCGCCCACCGUUAGUCUGUGAUAACCUAAGCUGUCCCUCAUCAUCGGAAAUUUUCUGCCAAUGGAACAAACGGUGAAGGAGCCGAGUAAUGAAAUGCACAGGAAAUCCAGGUAAUUAACCAGACCAUUAAAGUCCUGUUACUGUUGAAAAUCAACAGAACUACAGCCGAUUCUGUUACGGAUUUUAUGGCAAACUGAUUGCAACGGGGCUUUAAUGAAUUCGGGCAAAAAACCACAGCACACUUAAAGAAACAAAUAAUUCAAAGCAAAGAAAUCUAUUGCAACAUGUUUACAUGAUUACAAUAAUCAUACUAUUUCACAGAGAUUAUAUUUGAUUGCAGAUCGUGUGGUAA